rnacentral:rRNA from 1 species
CGAGGACGAACGCUGGCGGCACGCCUAACACAUGCAAGUCGAGCGGAGAUUGAGAGCUUGCUCUCAUGAUCAGCGGCGGACGGGUGAGUAACACGUGAGCAACCUGCCUUUCAGAGGGGGACAACAGUUGGAAACGACUGCUAAUACCGCAUAACAUUGCCGAACGGCAUCGUUUGGCAAUCAAAGGAGCAAUCCGCUGAAAGAUGGGCUCGCGUCUGAUUAGAUAGUUGGUGAGGUAACGGCUCACCAAGUCGACGAUCAGUAGCCGGACUGAGAGGUUGAUCGGCCACAUUGGGACUGAGACACGGCCCAGACUCCUACGGGAGGCAGCAGUGGGGGAUAUUGGACAAUGGGGGAAACCCUGAUCCAGCGAUGCCGCGUGAGGGAAGAAGGUUUUCGGAUUGUAAACCUCUGUGGACAGGGACGAUAAUGACGGUACCUGUUUAGAAAGCCACGGCUAACUACGUG